CGGUGUUUAACUGGCGUGAUGUGGAACGUCCUACCGGUGGGCUUAGCCUCGCGAGGGGCGGCCCAACUAAUAUCCCGUCGCGGUGCUCUUUACUGAGUGUCGAGUCGGGCCGGUACGUUUACUUUGAACAAAUUAGAGUGCUUAAAGCAGGCUAUCCUCGCCUGAAUACUGCGUGCAUGGAAUAAUGGAAUAGGACCUCGGUUCUAUUUUGUUGGUUUUCGGAACCCCGAGGUAAUGAUUAAUAGGGACAGAUGGGGGCAUUCGUAUUGCGACGUUAGAGGUGAAAUUCUUGGAUCGUCGCAAGACGGACAGAAGCGAAAGCAUUUGCCAAAAAUGUUUUCAUUAAUCAAGAACGAAAGUUAGAGGUUCGAAGGCGAUCAGAUACCGCCCUAGUUCUAACCAUAAACGAUGCCAGCUAGCGAUCCGCCGAAGUUCCUCCGAUGACUCGGCGGGCAGCUUCCGGGAAACCAAAGCUUUUGGGUUCCGGGGGAAGUAUGGUUGCAAAGCUGAAACUUAAAGGAAUUGACGGAAGGGCACCACCAGGAGUGGAGCCUGCGGCUUAAUUUGACUCAACACGGGAAACCUCACCAGGCCCAGACACCGGAAGGAUUGACAGAUUGAUAGCUCUUUCUUGAUUCGGUGGGUGGUGGUGCAUGGCCGUUCUUAGUUGGUGGAGCGAUUUGUCUGGUUAAUUCCGAUAACGAACGAGACUCUAGCCUGCUAAAUAGGCGUACCUUAUGGUAUCGCGAAGGCCCCCGGCUUCGGCCGGUGGGUUUUUACUACCAACGUACAAACAAAUCUUCUUAGAGGGACAGGCGG
rnacentral:rRNA from 1 species